GUCCAGACUCCUACGGGAGGCAGCAGUGGGGAAUAUUGCACAAUGGGGGAAACCCUGAUGCAGCGACGCCGCGUGAGCGAAGAAGUAUUUCGGUAUGUAAAGCUCUAUCAGCAGGGAAGAAAAUGACGGUACCUGACUAAGAAGCCCCGGCUAACUACGUGCCAGCAGCCGCGGUAAUACGUAGGGGGCAAGCGUUAUCCGGAUUUACUGGGUGUAAAGGGAGCGUAGACGGCAUGGCAAGUCAGAUGUGAAAGCCCGGGGCUCAACCCCGGGACUGCAUUUGAAACUGUCAGGCUGGAGUGCAGGAGAGGUAAGUGGAAUUCCUAGUGUAGCGGUGAAAUGCGUAGAUAUUAGGAGGAACACCAGUGGCGAAGGCGGCUUACUGGACUGUAACUGACGUUGAGGCUCGAAAGCGUGGGGAGCAAACAGGAUUAGAUACCCGUGUA
rnacentral:rRNA from 1 species